rnacentral:rRNA from 1 species
UACGUAGGGGGCAAGCGUUGUCCGGAUUUAUUGGGCGUAAAGAGCGUGUAGGCGGCCAGGUGGGUCCGUUGUGAAAACUCGAGGCUCAACCUCGAGACGCCGGUGGAAACCGUAAAGCUAGAGUCCGGAAGAGGAGAGUGGAAUUCCUGGUGUAGCGGUGAAAUGCGCAGAUAUCAGGAAGAACACCCGUGGCGAAGGCGGCUCUCUGGGACGGUACUGACGCUGAGAAGCGAAAGCGUGGGGAGCGAACAGG